rnacentral:rRNA from 1 species
GAUGAACGCUGGCGGCGUGCCUAAUACAUGCCAGUCGAGCGAACAGAUGAGGAGCUUGCUCCUCUGACGUUAGCGGCGUACGGGUGAGUAACACGUGGAUAACCUACCUAUAAGACUGGGAUAACUUCGGGAAACCGGAGCUAAUACCGGAUAAUAUAUUGAACCGCAUGGUUCAAUAGUGAAAGACGGUUUUGCUGUCACUUAUAGAUGGAUCCGCGCCGCAUUAGCUAGUUGGUAAGGUAACGGCUUACCAAGGCAACGAUGCGUAGCCGACCUGAGAGGGUGAUCGGCCACACUGGAACUGAGACACGGUCCAGACUCCUACGGGAGGCAGCAGUAGGGAAUCUUCCGCAAUGGGCGAAAGCUUGACGGAGCAACGCCGCGUGAGUGAUGAAGGUCUUCGGAUCGUAAAACUCUGUUAUUAGGGAAGAACAAAUGUGUAAGUAACUAUGCACGUCUUGACGGUACCUAAUCAGAAAGCCACGGCUAACUACGUG